GGCUUGAUUCAUGGAGGGAGGGACAAGCCCUGGGGAGAGAAAAGCACAGAAUUUGAGUCAGUAGAUCUGGUUUCCAUUCCUGGUUCACCCUCUUGCUGCAACCCUGAGAAGUUACUUCACAUUUCUCAUCCUUACCUGACCCCAUCUAUAAAAUGAAAAUCAAGAGAUCCAUCUCACAGGGUUAUUGUGAAUAAAAAUGUGUUUGAAUGUUUAUUACGUAUUGUUGAGAGUUAUUCAGAUAUGAUUCUCAUCUUCCUCCAAGGCUACCCAGAAGACACGUGUAUGUGCCAUUUAUUUCCUCUUCCAUGACAUCACUACUGCCUCCUGCCACCCACAGACAUAUUCCAUUCAAAACUGAAAUGGGAAGUGUUCCUAGAAUUUCCUAUAUUGUGGUGUUUUCUGGAUUUUAAGUACUAUCUAGUGCUAGGGAUGUCACUUAGGCUGCUUUUGGCUGCAAGUAAUCAAUUACCUCAAUCAGGAUCUCAGCAAGAAACAGCAGACUCAGAUUAGGAUUAUUUGAGGAGGGUUAUUUAUUUAUUUAUUUAUUUAUUUAUUUAUUUAUCGAG
rnacentral:lncRNA from 1 species